AUUCUGGAAAGCAAAUGGGUCAAGGUAUCCAGAUGUGGCUCGAAUGGCUCGUGAUGUCUUGGCUAUACCAGUUUCCACAGUUGCUUCAGAGUCGGCUUUUAGCGCAGGGGGCCGUGUUAUUGAUAAAUAUCGGAGCAAACUCCUACCUACCAAUGCUGAAGCAUUAAUAUGCCUUCGGGAUUGGAUGUUUGAUAUAGACUUCAGAGCUGAGCCUUUUGAUGAUCCCACUGAUGUGGAUAAUGCACUUAGAAAUGUACUGGAACUAUUGCACAUUGAAAAUGAGAGAGGUGCAGUAGCUAGUUCUUCAGCUGGUCCUACUCCUAGAGAAGGAUAAGCUCAAUCUUAUUGAAUAGUUUCUUGGAAUGGUAAGAGUGUAGGACACACUUGUGGUCUUAAGAGUAACUACUCAACACAUCAUUUUGGAGGACAAAGGGCUGCAAUAUUUUAAGGGAAUAUUAAAAUAUUUUGAGAAAGAAGAUAGUCAUUUGAUAUUUUGAUGUAAUAUUAAAUACUCUUUGAAUGUUUUAGGUGGAUGUUCUAUGGUUUGUUUGAUACUUUGACUUGCAUUAGUUAUUGGCACACUAUCUCUAUUUUAGGUGGGUGAUUCCGUGAUUGAAUCAUUUUAAUUUUUAGGUGGUCCGUGGUUGAUUGAAUGAUUUGAAUAUUUGGUACUUUGAUAGUUUAAUACUUUAUAGUUUGAUGACUUGA